rnacentral:rRNA from 1 species
GUAGGUGGCAAGCGUUGUCCGGGAAUUAUUGGGCGUAAAGCGCGCGCAGGCGGUUCUUUAAGGGUCUGAUGUGAAAGCCCACGGGCUCAACCGUGGAGGGUCAUUGGAAACUGGAGAACUUGAGUACAGAAGAGGAAAGCGGAAUUCCACGUGUAGCGGUGAAAUGCGUAGAGAUGUGGAGGAACACCAGUGGCGAAGGCGGCUUUCUGGUCUGUAACUGACGCUGAGGCGCGAAAGCGUGGGGAGCAAACAGGAUUAGAUACCCUGGUAGUCCACGCCGUAAACGAUGAGUGCUAAGUGUUAGGGGGUUUCCGCCCCUUAGUGCUGCAGCUAACGCAUUAAGCACUCCGCCUGGGGAGUACGGCCGCAAAGGCUG